AGAGUUUGAUCCUGGCUCAGAUUGAACGCUGGCGGCAUGCUUUACACAUGCAAGUCGAACGGCAGCGGGGAGGAGCUUGCUUCUCUGCCGGCGAGUGGCGAACGGGUGAGUAAUACAUCGGAACGUGUCGAGAAGAGGGGGAUAACCACCCGAAAGGGUGGCUAAUACCGCAUAAAUUCUGAGGAAGAAAGCUGGGGACCURGGAAUAGGCCUAGCGCUUUUUGAGCGGCCGAUGUCGGAUUAGCUAGUUGGUGAGGUAAAGGCUCACCAAGGCGAAGAUCUGUAGCGGGUCUGAGAGGAUGAUCCGCCACACUGGGACUGAGACACGGCCCAGACUCCUACGGGAGGCAGCAGUGGGGAAUUUUGGACAAUGGGGGCAACCCUGAUCCAGCCAUGCCGCGUGUAUGAAGAAGGCCUUAGGGUUGUAAAGUACUUUUGUUAGGGAAGAAAAGUCAGCUGUGAAUAAUGGCUGAUACUGACGGUACCUAAAGAAUAAGCACCGGCUAACUACGUGCCAGCAGCCGCGGUAAUACGUAGGGUGCGAGCGUUAAUCGGAAUUAUUGGGCGUAAAGCGAGUGUAGACGGUUAUUUAAGCCAGAUGUGAAAUACCCGAGCCUAACUUGGGAGGUGCAUAUGGAACUGGGUAGCUAGAGUGUGUCAGAGGGAGGUAGAACUCCACGUGUAGCAGUGAAAUGCGUAGAGAUGUGGAAGAAUACCGAUGGCGAAGGCAGCCUCCUGGGAUAACACUGACGUUGAGGCUCGAAAGCGUGGGGAGCAAACAGGAUUAGAUAC
rnacentral:rRNA from 1 species